UACCCUACGGUCUCUCUCAGGUCCGCCGCAACUCCUGGGUUCCGUAGGGCGGCUGGUCCGAACGGACAGAGUGGCCUCUUCGACAUGCCGCUCGGACCAGCCAACCU
rnacentral:sRNA from 1 species